rnacentral:rRNA from 1 species
AACGAACGCUGGCGGCAGGCCUAACACAUGCAAGUCGAACGCUGUAGCAAUACAGAGUGGCAGACGGGUGAGUAACGCGUGGGAACAUUCCUAGUGGUACGGAAUAGCUCAGGGAAACUUGGGGUAAUACCGUAUACGCCCUUACGGGAAGAUUAUCGCCAUUAGAUUGGCCCGCGUAGGAUUAGCUAGUUGGUGAGGUAAUGGCUCACCAAGGCGACGAUCCUUAGCUGGUUUGAGAGAAUGACCAGCCACACUGGGACUGAGACACGGCCCAGACUCCUACGGGAGGCAGCAGUGGGGAAUCUUGGACAAUGGGCGCAAGCCUGAUCCAGCCAUGCCGCGUGAGUGACGAAGGCCUUAGGGUUGUAAAGCUCUUUUGUCCGGGGACGAUAAUGACGGUACCCGGAGAAUAAGUCCCGGCUAACUUCGUGCCAGCAGCCGCGGUAAU